GCUGGGCAUGGUGGCGCGUGCCUGCAGUCCCAGCUACUCAGGAGGCUGUGGCUGGAGGAUCGCUUGAGCCCAGGAGUUCUGGGCUGCAGUGCGCUAUGCCAAUCAGGUGUCCGCACUAAGUUCAGCAUCAGUAUGGUGACCUCCCGAGAGCUGGGGAUGACCAGGUUGCCUAAGGAGCGGUGAACCGGCCCAGAUUGGAAAUGGAGCUGGUCAAAACUCCCAUGCUGAUCAGUAGUAGGAUCGCACCUGUGAAUAGCCACUGCACUCCAGCCUGGGCAACAUAGCGAGACUCUGUCUCU
rnacentral:SRP_RNA from 1 species